rnacentral:lncRNA from 1 species
GCCCAGGCUGUAGUGCAAUGGUGCGAUCUCGGCUCACAGAACCUCCGCCUCCCAGGUUCAAGUGAUUCUCCUGCCUCGGCCUCCCGACUAGGUGGGAUUACAGGCAUGCGCCACCAUGCCCAGCUAAUUUUUGUAUUUUCAGUAGAGACGGGGUUUCUCCAUUUUGGUCAGGUUGGUCUCGAACUCCUGAUCUCAGGUGAUCCACCAGAUCCUCCCAAAAUGUUGGGAUUACAGGCGUAAGCCACCGCGCCCGGCCCCGAAAUGCUUUGAUAAGAAUUCAUGACUGACAAAUUUCUUUUGUUUUUGACCAGAAAAUAAGUGCCUUUUAUUCUUAUGUUCUACAGAGACUUUGCUUACUCAGCCAAAGCAAGACACUAAAUCACAGUUGUAGGUCAGAUAUCUCUGCUGCCUAUUCUGCCCAUAUACAUUUCCCACCCAGUCACAGGAAUGACUGGACAUCUCAGCAAACAGCAUCAUCAAGAGAGGCACUCUUAUCACCUCCACACCCAUAAUAGAGUUGUUCAAUAAAUAAUGAGUGCCUACCAGGUACAAUGUAUCAUACUUGCAUGGUAGAUAGUAAUUUUACAGGUAGCUAUAUUAUGCUCAAAUAUGUAAAACCCAAGUAAUACUGAGCACAUUUUUACCUUCUCCUUUUCACAGUAACUAACCCUUUUGUGGCACUAGCUUGAAGAACUGCUGGUCAAGAGAGCCACCCAGUGGCUGCUGUGCAGAGCAGCAUGACAGGUCUUUAGGCUGUAAAAUAUUCCCCGUAUUCAGUGCCUCCACAAGGAACACAGAUGGACAAAAGGAUGUCUCUGGACCCCUGGUAUUCCUCUAAACCUGCCAAGCAGUUUAUGAGACAAUUUCAUGAAUUAUUUUACAUCUACCAAACAUCCUUCAAAGAACUGAGCAAAGUGAACAGCUGAGUAAAGAUUUCAGAGAACAAGGAGGUAUUGAAGUCUGUUAAGUCACCGGAGAAUGGCUGGAGAUGUAUUUGCCACCGUGGGAAUUUUAAAGUAAUCAGAACUCCGUGGCUAAACUCCUUUGAGUUAACAACCUCUGGGCGCGGUGGCUCACGCCUGUAAUCCCAGCACUUUGGGAGGCCGAGGCGGGCGGAUCAAGAACUCUGGAGUUAGAGACCAGCCUGACCAACAUGGUGAAACCCCGUCUCUACUAAAAAUUCAAAAAUUAGCUGGGCGUGGUGGCGCACGCCUGUAAUCCCAGCUACUCGGGAGGCUGAGGCAGAGGAAUCGCUUGAAACCGAGAGGCGGAGGUUGCAGCGAGCCGAGAUCGCGCCACUGCACUCCAGCCUGGGCGGGCGACAAAACGAGAUUCCGUCUCAAAAAAACAACUUGUCUGCACCCCUGGUAAUAACCUCUCACACCCUUCACAGUCAUUUUACGCCCCUCCCCCCAUUUUCUUUCUUUCUGUGUUCAAAUUAUAGUUGGAAGGAAUAAAGCAGCUUCUUUCACGCCGACUUAACCUAUUAGGAAUACCAUAUAGUGUCUCCUAUGGCAACCUCUAUUUUGAGUCUAGAUAAGAAAUCCUCAAACAUCUGGGUCUAAACUGUCGCGGGCAUCAGCUAUCUUCACGGAUGGGAGGAAGGAACAAUCAGACCCUUACCUGGUUCCUU